rnacentral:rRNA from 1 species
GGGAGCUUGCUCCCGGAUGUUAGCGGCGGACGGGUGAGUAACACGUGGGUAACCUGCCUGUAAGACUGGGAUAACUCCGGGAAACCGGAGCUAAUACCGGAUAGUUCCUUGAACCGCAUGGUUCAAGGAUGAAAGACGGUUUCGGCUGUCACUUACAGAUGGACCCGCGGCGCAUUAGCUAGUUGGUGAGGUAACGGCUCACCAAGGCGACGAUGCGUAGCCGACCUGAGAGGGUGAUCGGCCACACUGGGACUGAGACACGGCCCAGACUCCUACGGGAGGCAGCAGUAGGGAAUCUUCCGCAAUGGACGAAAGUCUGACGGAGCAACGCCGCGUGAGUGAUGAAGGUUUUCGGAUCGUAAAGCUCUGUUGUUAGGGAAGAACAAGUGCAAGAGUAACUGCUUGCACCUUGACGGUACCUAACCAGAAAGCCACGGCUAACUACGUGCCAGCAGCCGCGGUAAUACGUAGGUGGCAAGCGUUGUCCGGAAUUAUUGGGCGUAAAGGGCUCGCAGGCGGUUUCUUAAGUCUGAUGUGAAAGCCCCCGGCUCAACCGGGGAGGGUCAUUGGAAACUGGGAAACUUGAGUGCAGAAGAGGAGAGUGGAAUUCCACGUGUAGCGGUGAAAUGCGUAGAGAUGUGGAGGAACACCAGUGGCGAAGGCGACUCUCUGGUCUGUAACUGACGCU